rnacentral:rRNA from 1 species
UUGAUCCUGCCGGAAGCGACCGCUUUUGGAGUUCGAUUAAGCCAUGCGAGUCGAGAGUCUUAGGGACUCGGCAAACUGCUCAGUAACACGUGGAUAACCUGCCCUGUGCUCUGGGGUAACCUCGGGAAACUGAGAAUAAUACCAGAUAGUCCACCACGCCUGGAACGGUGGGUGGAUCAAAGAUUACGGCACAGGAUGGGUCUGCGGCGUAUCAGGUUGUAGGGGGUGUAACGGACCCCCUAGCCAUUGACGCGUACGGGUGUUGGGAGACAUAGCCCGGAGAUGGAUUCUGAGACACGAAUCCAGACCCUACGGGGUGCAGCAGGCGCGAAAACUUCACACUGCAGGAAACUGUGAUGAGGGAACUCCAAGUGUGUGCGUUAUACGUACACUUUUCUGAACUCUUAAUCGGUUUAGGAAUAAGGGCUGGGAAAGACCGGUGCCAGCCGCCGCGGUAAUACCGGCAGCUCAAGUGGUCGUCGCUUUUAUUGGGCCUAAAACGUCCGUAGCCUGUUUGGUAUAUCUGUGGGUAAAUCAACCCGCUUAACGGGUUGAAUUCUGCAGAGACUGCCAGACUAGGGACCGGGAGAGGUGUGGGGUACUCGAGGGGUAGGGGUAAAAUCCUGUCAUCCUUCGAGGACCACCAGUUGCGAAGG